rnacentral:rRNA from 1 species
GACGAACCGAGCGAACGUUGUUCGGAAUCACUGGGCUUAAAGGGCGCGUAGGCGGAUUAUCAAGUCCGGGGUGAAAUCCUCCAGCUCAACUGGAGAACUGCCUCGGAUACUGGGUGCCUCGAGUGUGGUAGGGGUGUGCGGAACUAUCGGUGGAGCGGUGAAAUGCGUUGAUAUCGAUAGGAACUCCGGUGGCGAAGGCGGCACACUGGACCACAACUGACGCUGAGGCGCGAAAGCCAGGGGAGCAAACGGG